UUUUUGGCAAAUUACAUUACACAAAUUCACUACUGCGUGUAAAAAUAUUCCGUGUAUUUAUGAGAUUCCCUCAAGCAAAGUUAGCAAGAAUAUAUCUGUGAACAACUAGCAGUAAGUGUUUGACGAUUUCAUGCUCUAUAUCAUAAUUGUUUUUGACGAUGACGAACGUGAGAAACCAUUUUUCAUGCGAGAUCAGUCUACUCGACUAUAAAUAGGUAACUCGUCAUAUGAGUAAUCUUCCAUAGGGUGCGAGUAGUAAAGAUCGGCUGAAUAAGAGGGUGGUUGUCCGACUUGACAUAAUGAAUGGUUCAGCGCUUAUGUAGGACACAUGCCUUCCAGGGUUUAUGGGCCACCACUCCUGCAGAUAUGCGCCUGCAUUCAUGCAUGUAGGCGUGGAGAAUUCGUCUGCCCGCUCUCUGAUGCAUACUUUCACGUGACCGUAACACUAAAUGGAGGCAGUGAUUUAUCUAACUUGUCAUCCUCAGCUUACUUAACAUGUUCUAGACAUUAUCUCAGUUCAUUUUCAUUGGCGUAUAGUCGAUAAAAUAAAACAAGCUGAUGUUAUUUUCUGAUAAGGGGAAAAAAUGUGUCUUUCUUGCUAGCAAACAAAUCCAACUAAACACUUAUACAGGUGGAUAUGUUAGGGUGUCAAUUCAAUUGAUCUCUAUUGAUCUUCUUUGCUCAUUAGGAAUGCUAACCACUAACACCAGUGCACAUUAUUAGUGUCUUAACGAUGUGAUGAGAAAACAGCCUCAUCACUGCAAGUGUCUAUUCACAAAGGUACCUUAAAAAUAAAAGUGAACGUUUAUGCUGAAUAACAUUACCAAAACAUGAUUAGAAUGUGUAUUUAGAGGCGUCCACAUAAGUUCAUGAUAGGUUUCGGGUACCGGCUUAAUCAGAUACAUCUCGAAGCAAACAACUACAGACAAAUGUUACUAACAAGUUGACGAUAAUCCAUCGAAAAGCAAACAUCCAAGCAAUUCAGACCCUGCCAAUUAAUCUACUCUGAUACAUUCUAACUCAGCUGCUAAAGUAAGUAAGAUUUUUCAAAUUUGCAGCGUGUAGAAUCAGCAGGAAUGAUCAUAAUUUAAGGAAGGGGUAGGUAAUUCAACCUUCGCUCCAGUUAGGGUCAAUUACUGUCUGCUCGUAAUAAAGCAAUAGUAAUAAAGACAUAGUUCAUUGGCCUACGAGCCAUAGUGCUAUGCCCUACAAAGACAUUAAUCCGGUUCUGUGCAAUGCCCCUCUUUGGAUGGUGGCAUGACCUGCCAUGUUCUCUCUCAUGCAUACUCUCAUAUGAGUACCUUAAUGGAUCGUAUAGAGUCGGCAUUACCACCUGCCAGUAGUUCUGGUACGUACGUAAGAAGAUCAGAAGGCUACCAUGCCUUCACCGCCAAUAUGAGAAGCAGAAAGCUUCAGUUAGGUGUGCUGCUCACACUUACAGUGCUGUUUGCAUGCAGCGCUUUCUACAAGAUAGCCGAUAACGUGACAGACUACAUAAAGAACGGAGUCACGCGGAUUGACAGAGGUGAGGGGUACCGCACUGAUACCAGUGUGGUGUCCCCUCAGCCAGCCAGCCACAGUUCCCCACAUGCACUCACCACAUCAGCUACUCACCAGUACUUGAACAGGGAUAGACGAAAGCUGAUUUGCUAUGGACAAGUUCUAC
rnacentral:lncRNA from 1 species